rnacentral:lncRNA from 1 species
AAUAGAGGCCAGGACUCCUGGCUCCCCGUCCAGACUCUGAGGACCCAGGAGCCUCCAUGGGUACACUCAGAGGCCACACUAGAUGCAAAAAGAACCAUUUACAGAGAAGUGAGAGGUUCUCAAAGGCUCAACCAAAUGCCUCUGCCAGGAGAAUCUUUCAGAGUGUCCUGGAACAUUGGAAAUAGGCUUAAAGCUUAAAUGAUGAAUCAGAAGAGUUAUGCUGUAUUCUAAUGCUGCCACUAGACCACUAAUCAACAUCUUCAGGAUCUACUCCAGAGGACUACACCUUGAUUAGUUCCAGUUGAGAACAUGUACAGGAAACAUAUCACUUGCUCUUACUAAUAAUUUAACUGAUUUCUUGAAAUCAACCUGAUGUUUCUAUGAAGGUGGUUUGAGAUGUGGUGGUCCAAGACCCUUUGCUAGCUUUAAAACUCUGCUGAUUUUUUAGAAAGCUUUAAAAAAUAUGUAUCAAGAGCCAUAAAAUGUUCACGUCCUUGACCCUGUAAUUAUAUUUUUAGGAAACUACCUUAAGGAAACAUUACUUAUGCACAGAGGGAGUCAGUAAUUAUACUUUUAGGAAUCUAUUUUAUGGAAAUAAAAGCAUGCAUGCACAUAAGUGUUAAUUGUAGGUAUAUUGAAAAUAACCAAAGACUAGAAACAAUGCAAAGUCCCUGAAUGGGAAGAAUGUAGAGCAAAUUAUGUUCCAUGCUCCUCAGGGAAGCUCCUCUUUCUUACAUACCAGACAAGGUCAAGUUCCCCCAACAGUUCCCUCUCGUGGUUCAUGUGUGUUUCCUUGACUAAAUAAACAUCUGUGUAAUUAUUUAAUGUAUUUCUAAUACAAGGCCCUGUUUCUAACUGUUUUCUCCAACAUAUUCCCAACACAUGUUAUAAUUUCUGGCAUAUAGCAGCUGUUCAAUAAAUAUUUGUUGAAUGAAUAAACACAUUAUACAUGAAUAAAUUCUAAUGACUUGGAAAGAUUUCAUGAUAUGAUAUCAAGUGACAAAACUGGGAUGCAAGAUUGUAUUAACGGAAAUAGUAAUUAAAUAAAGAGUACCGUUUUACUUCGUUUAGCAAGAACUUAUCACAAUAGUAUCAGGAAGGCCAAAAGAUUAGCCAUAGCCGAAGUUUG